GACGAACGCUGGCGGCGUGCUUAACACAUGCAAGUCGAACGGUGAAGCGCCUUCCUUUUUGGUGGGUGUGGAUGAGUGGCGAACGGGUGAGUAACACGUGAGUAACCUGCCCCCUUCUUCUGGAUAACCGCAUGAAAGUGUGGCUAAUACGGGAUAUUCUGGGUCUGUCGCAUGAUGGGUCUGGGAAAGAUAUUGUUUCGGUGGGGGAUGGGCUCGCGGCCUAUCAGCUUGUUGGUGGGGUGAUGGCCUACCAAGGCGGUGACGGGUAGCCGGCCUGAGAGGGUGGACGGUCACACUGGGACUGAGACACGGCCCAGACUCCUACGGGAGGCAGCAGUGGGGAAUAUUGCACAAUGGGCGCAAGCCUGAUGCAGCGACGCCGCGUGAGGGAUGGAGGCCUUAGGGUUGUGAACCUCUUUCGCCAGUGAAGCAGGCCUGCCUCGUUUGUGGGUGGGUUGACGGUAGCUGGAUAAGAAGCGCCGGCUAACUACGUG
rnacentral:rRNA from 1 species